rnacentral:rRNA from 1 species
GAUGAACGCUGGCGGCGUGCCUAAUACAUGCAAGUCGAGCGAACAGACGAGGAGCUUGCUCCUCUGACGUUAGCGGCGGACGGGUGAGUAACACGUGGAUAACCUACCUAUAAGACUGGGAUAACUUCGGGAAACCGGAGCUAAUACCGGAUAAUAUAUUGAACCGCAUGGUUCAAUAGUGAAAGACGGUUUUGCUGUCACUUAUAGAUGGAUCCGCGCGGCAUUAGCUAGUUGGUAAGGUAACGGCUUACCAAGGCAACGAUGCGUAGCCGACCUGAGGGGGUGAUCGGCCACACUGGAACUGAGACACGGUCCAGACUCCUACGGGAGGCAGCAGUAGGGAAUCUUCCGCAAUGGGCGAAAGCCUGACGGAGCAACGCCGCGUGAGUGAUGAAGGUCUUCGGAUCGUAAAACUCUGUUAUUAGGUAAGAACAAAUGUGUAAGUAACUAUGCACGUCUUGACGGUACCUAAUCAGAAAGCCACGGCUAACUACGUG